UCCCUGGUGGUCCAGUGGUUAAGACUCUGCGCUCCCAACGCAGGGGCCAGGGUCUGAGCCUUGGUCAGGGAA
rnacentral:tRNA from 1 species